CCGGGGGAACUGAAACAUCUAAGUACCCCGAGGAAAAGAAAUCAACCGAGAUUCCCCCAGUAGCGGCGAGCGAACGGGGAGGAGCCCAGAGCCUGAAUCAGCAUGUGUGUUAGUGGAAGCGUCUGGAAAGGCGCGCGAUACAGGGUGACAGCCCCGUACACAAAAGCGCAUGUGCUGUGAGCUCGAUGAGUAGGGCGGGACACGUGGUAUCCUGUCUGAAUAUGGGGGGACCAUCCUCCAAGGCUAAAUACUCCUGACUGACCGAUAGUGAACCAGUACCGUGAGGGAAAGGCGAAAAGAACCCCGGCGAGGGGAGUGAAAAAGAACCUGAAACCGUGUACGUACAAGCAGUGGGAGCACCCUUUGGGGUGUGACUGCGUACCUUUUGUAUAAUGGGUCAGCGACUUAUAUUCUGUAGCAAGGUUAACCGAAUAGGGGAGCCGGAGGGAAACCGAGUCUUAAUUGGGCGUUAAGUUGCAGGGUAUAGACCCGAAACCCGGUGAUCUAGCCAUGGGCAGGUUGAAGGUUGGGUAACACUAACUGGAGGACCGAACCGACUAAUGUUGAAAAAUUAGCGGAUGACCUGUGGCUGGGGGUGAAAGGCCAAUCAAACCGGGAGAUAGCUGGUUCUCCCCGAAAGCUAUUUAGGUAGCGCCUCGUGAAUUCAUCUCCGGGGGUAGAGCACUGUUUCGGCUAGGGGGCCAUCCCGGCUUACCAACCCGAUGCAAACUGCGAAUACCGGAGAAUGUUAUCACGGGAGACACACGGCGGGUGCUAACGUCCGUCGUGAAGAGGGAAACAACCCAGACCGCCAGCUAAGGUCCCAAAGUCAUGGUUAAGUGGGAAACGAUGUGGGAAGGCCCAGACAGCCAGGAUGUUGGCUUAGAAGCAGCCAUCAUUUAAAGAAAGCGUAAUAGCUCACUGGUCGAGUCGGCCUGCGCGGAAGAUGUAACGGGGCUAAACCAUGCACCGAAGCUGCGGCAGCGACACUAUGUGUUGUUGGGUAGGGGAGCGUUCUGUAAGCCUGCGAAGGUGGCCUGUGAGGGUUGCUGGAGGUAUCAGAAGUGCGAAUGCUGACAUAAGUAACGAUAAAGCGGGUGAAAAGCCCGCUCGCCGGAAGACCAAGGGUUCCUGUCCAACGUUAAUCGGGGCAGGGUGAGUCGACCCCUAAGGCGAGGCCGAAAGGCGUAGUCGAUGGGAAACGGGUUAAUAUUCCCGUACUUGGUGUUACUGCGAAGGGGGGACGGAGAAGGCUAUGUUGGCCGGGCGACGGUUGUCCCGGUUUAAGCGUGUAGGUGUGUGUUCCAGGUAAAUCCGGUUCACUUUAACACUGAGGCGUGAUGACGAGGCACUACGGUGCUGAAGCAACAAAUGCCCUGCUUCCAGGAAAAGCCUCUAAGCAUCAGGUAACAUCAAAUCGUACCCCAAACCGACACAGGUGGUCAGGUAGAGAAUACCAAGGCGCUUGAGAGAACUCGGGUGAAGGAACUAGGCAAAAUGGUGCCGUAACUUCGGGAGAAGGCACGCUGACACGUAGGUGAAGUGAUUUACUCAUGGAGCUGAAGUCAGUCGAAGAUACCAGCUGGCUGCAACUGUUUAUUAAAAACACAGCACUGUGCAAACACGAAAGUGGACGUAUACGGUGUGACGCCUGCCCGGUGCCGGAAGGUUAAUUGAUGGGGUCAGCGCAAGCGAAGCUCCUGAUCGAAGCCCCGGUAAACGGCGGCCGUAACUAUAACGGUCCUAAGGUAGCGAAAUUCCUUGUCGGGUAAGUUCCGACCUGCACGAAUGGCGUAAUGAUGGCCAGGCUGUCUCCACCCGAGACUCAGUGAAAUUGAACUCGCUGUGAAGAUGCAGUGUACCCGCGGCAAGACGGAAAGACCCCGUGAACCUUUACUAUAGCUUGACACUGAACAUUGAGCCUUGAUGUGUAGGAUAGGUGGGAGGCUUUGAAGUGUGGACGCCAGUCUGCAUGGAGCCGGCCUUGAAAUACCACCCUUUAAUGUUUGAUGUUCUAACGUGGACCCGUGAUCCGGGUUGCGGACAGUGUCUGGUGGGUAGUUUGACUGGGGCGGUCUCCUCCUAAAGAGUAACGGAGGAGCACGAAGGUUGGCUAAUCCUGGUCGGACAUCAGGAGGUUAGUGCAAUGGCAUAAGCCAGCUUGACUGCGAGCGUGACGGCGCGAGCAGGUGCGAAAGCAGGUCAUAGUGAUCCGGUGGUUCUGAAUGGAAGGGCCAUCGCUCAACGGAUAAAAGGUACUCCGGGGAUAACAGGCUGAUACCGCCCAAGAGUUCAUAUCGACGGCGGUGUUUGGCACCUCGAUGUCGGCUCAUCACAUCCUGGGGCUGAAGUAGGUCCCAAGGGUAUGGCUGUUCGCCAUUUAAAGUGGUACGCGAGCUGGGUUUAGAACGUCGUGAGACAGUUCGGUCCCUAUCUGCCGUGGGCGCUGGAGAACUGAGGGGGGCUGCUCCUAGUACGAGAGGACCGGAGUGGACGCAUCACUGGUGUUCGGGUUGUCAUGCCAAUGGCACUGCCCGGUAGCUAAAUGCGGAAGAGAUAAGUGCUGAAAGCAUCUAAGCACGAAACUUGCCCCGAGAUGAGUUCUCCCUGAGACUUAGAGUCUCCUGAAGGAACGUUGAAGACGACGACGUUGAUAGGCCGGGUGUGUAAGCGCAGCGAUGCGUUGAGCUAACCGGUACUAAUGAACCGUGAGGCUUAACCUUACAACGCCGAAG
rnacentral:rRNA from 1 species